ensembl:snoRNA small nucleolar RNA, H/ACA box 29
CUUCCCAUUGUACUGCCUCUUAUUUCUAUGGUAAAAUAAGAGUCUUUGCUGAUGGGAUAAAGAAACACUAGCCAUUGUCUGAAGGAGAAGAUUGAUAUUGUCUUUCUCCUAUAUGAAAUGGCCAAACAUGGCAUC